UGACGUUAGCUAAAGUCUUUUUUUUUGAUGUUACUGCGUUGGGGGUUAGGAGUGGCUUUGACGGGGGCGCUAUGGCAGAGCCCGCGAGAGGGACGGCGGCCGUGUUGCGGGAGCAGCAGCGCGAGAAGCAGUCUCGCCGCACGCGACCUUCGGCCUCGGCCCUUCAUCACACCGGUGGUCGCCCUCUGUUCCCCUCCGCACCAGCACGAGAGAGACCAGCCGCUACCUCCGGCGCGCGCUCGGGCGCCGCGCCGCCGAGGGCGAGGGGGAGCGGAGAAGCUCAGAAGCCGGUGUGGCCAAAGGAGGGUUUCGUGCUUCACCCUUGUACACACCGCCGGCGACCGCUUGCUCCGGCGUGCGCUCGGGCGCUGUGCCGCCGCGCCUUCGGAGAAAGGGGACGGCCAAACUUUAGGCGUGGCAGCAGCCGGUCCAUUGACGAGGGGAGGCCAAUCCGGGCCCGAACCCGUACACGUCUACCACGCUCGUUAGUGGUUCGGUAGGCGCUAAGCAACUAGGGAUGCUAAGUGAGAGAUUAAACGUAGCCAGUCAUUUUUUAGGAGGAGAUAUUCCCCUUGUCCAACGAAACAAAACAUAAGGUAGAUUAAACACGAAAUUAAGAAAAACCCGAGAUGAUUAAAAGGUAUACGAGGUCAACUCUCUCGUUCUCUUCCAAUCAUGACGAGGUAAUAGAUGAUUAAGGCCGUUAGUUCCAGUUAUCUCCAAUGUAGUUAGUCCCAGUCAUUAGUCACAAUGACUAAAGUAUCUUCUGUACAUAUCGUCAUGAUGAGGUAGCCGUUCGCAAGCAACGACCUAAAGAAAGUGCGGAUACACCACUACACGCGGACACGGUACCAGCGAGAGGGAGGAUCGGACGAAGAGGUCCAAACUAAAAAAUUCAAAGUACGGAAACACAAAAUAUUCUACAGUAGGGCUUUCAUAAACAUUGUACUUUUUGGUUUCUUUCUCUUCUAAUCGUCCACUCAAAUAUUUAAGAGUUUUCCUUCAGUAACUUCUUUAAAAUCCUGUUUAUAUUCAAGAUUAACCUUGAACUUGGCCGUUACCAUGACUUAGAAGGCAAAUACCUAGGAUACAAAAGAAAAAGAACCAAAGGAAAGGGCUUAUACUUUAGACACCAAACACAUGAAGAAUAUUUGUCUCUACACGACGAGGAAGACGUAUGAAAAUAAGACAAGAAUUCUUAAACUGACAUAAAUUCACAAAAAAAAACGGUCUAGCAACAAAGUACGUCCACGUGAAAAAAGUCUUAGUCCUCGAAAAGACCUGACUUAUUCAUCUCAAUAUCAGUACGACUUCCGACUUUUGCUUCGAUCCUAAGUAUAAAUAGGUUCGUGUGGAAACGGCGAGUCCGUUUCGUAAAAAACGUGUGUCCACUGACCUUAAAAGUCGGUGCAGCCAGCUGUACACGGACUCUUCAUCCACUCUACCUCGAUUGCGACUCUACCUCCGCUGUGACGGACGGCGCCGCAGAGGUUCUACGUCUCGAUCCUGGACCUACCUCCGUCCCGGCUACGUUGAACACCACCGCAGAGGUUCUACUACAAGAUCCUGGACCUGCCUCCGUCCCUUCUGCGUUGAACAGAACCGCAACAGCCGUCUCCUGUACGUCGCCCAACAUCCCAAGACCACCUCCAGCCAAUCUCCCUACUGGCCACCGUCGUCGCCGUUGAGCCCGUCUAGUCCCGCCGCUCCGACGUCUCACCCACAAGCACAAACCACCGCACACGGAUCUCUUUCUUCCACUGUCAGGCAACCUACGUAUUAUACACUCCCACCUCCCUUUUGACUGACUUUUUAUUAGAAAAGUUCGGACUUUAUCAGCGAGAGUUAACAUUGGUAUCUUCGAACCGUGCCAAAACUUUUUGGUCUCAACGGACACACAACAUAUAUCCUGACUCAAAAAAGAACGUUGAAAUUCCGGAAAUAAAACUAGAUAGAACUUCUGGAAACAAGACGUACAGAAGGAUACCCAAAACUUCUUUAUCUCAACACA
rnacentral:rRNA from 1 species